rnacentral:sRNA from 1 species
GUGACGUGCUCCCAGAAUCCUGGAUUUGGACUUCAUUCUGGACAGCAUAUGACAAGGACGAGGACCCCUAUUCUAGCCAGUUAAAGCUGGACAGAAUUUUUAAAAGCAAUGAAGCCAGUUCCUUGGAUAUAUCCACGGGUUUUGCUUUGAGAAGGAAUUGAGUAGGCAGUGAGAAGAGCCGAGUGAAGCCUGGCCUGUGAGUGCCUCAACAACUGAGAUGAACAUCGACUCACUUGCGGGCAAGUUGUCACUCAGCAGCGAUCUGGACUACAUCCUGGGUUCCAGAAAAGGCAGAGGUUCUUACCGAAAGCAGGUAAGUGUCUUGUCUGCAUUAAGCUCAGAGUUGGUAGGAAAAGACUCUUCUAGCAAAUAAACCAUUUGGGGAAAGGGGAAGAGCAGCCAGUGGGACAGGGACACUCAUCCCAUUUGUUGGACAGAGUCAGAAGGGGUGGGUACGAGGAAGUGGCUACCGCUGACUAUGGGGUAUCCCAGGCAACAUCCAAGCCAGGAAACAAGUGAUUUUCUUGGCAAUAAGUCAGGAACUGGCUCCUGGCUACUAGUGUGAGGGGCUCAUUCCUG